UCCUUUUAGAUGAGGUCCCUGGAAGAAGCAAAUGGAUAGAGAUGGGCAGGAAAAAGGUGGGAGCCAGGAGCUGGGGGAGGGGAAUGAAGAUUUAGCGUUUCAUGGGGACAGAGUUUCAGUUUUGCAAGACAGAAAGUUCUGGGGGUGGGUGGCGGUGAUGGCCGCAUGACAGUGUGAAUGUGUAUAAUGCCACUGAAGUAGACACUUAAAAACAAAGUUUGUGGGGCACCUGGGUGGCUCAGUCGCUUGGGUGUCCGACUUUGGCUCAGGUCAUGAUCUCGUGGUCCGUGAGUUCGAGCCCCGCGUCGGGCUCUGUACUGACAGCUCGAAGCCUAAAGCCUGUUUUGCAUCUGUGUCUCCCUCUCUCUCUGACCCUCCCCCGUUCAUGCUCUGUCUCUCUGCCUCAAAAAUAAAUAAACAUUAAAAAAAAUUUUUUAAGUGGUAAAUUGUAUGGUUUGCAUACUUUGCCUCAAUUUGGAAUAAUCCUCAUAAGCAGUAAUAAAUCCAUGCCCCCCAGCUGACCUCCCCCAAGCCCGCCCGGGGUCCUCACGACCAACCCCAGGAGCUGGCUGGCAGAUGGGAAGAUGCUCCCAAUGAGAAGCAUCAGGCCUGGCUGGUCACCCCCGGGGAAAACCCGAAGGCUGCUUCCUCCGGGCAGGAUCACGACAGCUGUAUUUAUGGAGGGGGCGUGGAGGUCCUCGUCGCGAAGCUGUCUGUCGUCCUCGGCCCUCCUGAGAUCAAUCGCUCAGCCCACAUGGCAGGAUGGAAUUAGGAGGGCCCUGAGUCAGUGUGCACAGGCAGUAGUUCCUGCCCAGAGCCUCGCUUGGCCCACAGGGGAGGAAGAGAAAAGCCACCCUCGCAGCGGCUGGACGCCUGGUGCUCCCUUGAACAAGCAUCCGCUGGCCCUUUUGCUCUGGUGUUAAUCAAAUCUGGCAGAAUGGCCUGCCGUGCUACCAGACACUGCUAGAUGCCUGGAUUUGGAUUUGUUUCCCUUCAUCUUUAAAAUUCCCCCCAAAAAAUGGGGCGCCUGGGUGGCUCAGUCGGUUAAGCGUCCGACUUCAGCUCAGGUCACGAUCUCACGGUCCGUGAGUUCGAGCCCCGCGUCGGGCUCUGGGUUGACGGCCCAGAGCCUGGAGCCUGCUUCCGAUUCUGUGUCUCCCUCUCUCUCUGCCCCUCCCCCGUUCAUGCUCUGUCUCUCUCUGUCUCAAAAAUAAAUAAACGUUAAAAAAAUAAAUAAAUAAAA